AUUGAACGCUGGCGGCAGGCCUAACACAUGCAAGUCGAGCGGAUGAAGGGAGCUUGCUCCUGGAUUCAGCGGCGGACGGGUGAGUAAUGCCUAGGAAUCUGCCUGGUAGUUGGGGAUAACGUCCGGAAACGGGCGCUAAUACCGCAUACGUCCUGAGGGAGAAAGUGGGGGAUCUUCGGACCUCACGCUAUCAGAUGAGCCUAGGUCGGAUUAGCUAGUUGGUGGGGUAAAGGCCUACCAAGGCGACGAUCCGUAACUGGUCUGAGAGGAUGAUCAGUCACACUGGAACUGAGACACGGUCCAGACUCCUACGGGAGGCAGCAGUGGGGAAUCUUGGACAAUGGGCGAAAGCCUGAUCCAGCAAUGCCGCGUGUGUGAAGAAGGUCUUCGGAUUGUAAAGCACUUUAAGUUGGGAGGAAGGGCAGUAAGUUAAUACCUUGCUGUUUUGACGUUACCAACAGAAUAAGCACCGGCUAACUUCGUG
rnacentral:rRNA from 1 species